AACCUUCCCAAAACAGGUGAAUAGCCCUCCGAAAGGAGGAUUAAUACACCGUACCAUAUUAGAGUGGCAUCACAUUAAUAUUAUAGAUAGCAAUAUCGGUUUUGGAUGGGCGUGCGGCUGAUUAGGUAGUUGGCGGGGUAACGGCCCACCAAGCCUCCGAUCAGUAACUGGUGUGAGAGCACGACCAGUCACACGGGCACUGAGACACGGGCCCGACUCCUACGGGAGGCAGCAGUAAGGAAUAUUGGUCAAUGGACGCAAGUCUGAACCAGCCAUGCCGCGUGCAG
rnacentral:rRNA from 1 species